rnacentral:rRNA from 1 species
UACGGAGGAUCCGAGCGUUAUCCGGAUUUAUUGGGUUUAAAGGGUACUCAGGCGGGCCAUUAAGUCGGCGGUGAAAUUUUGCGGCUCAACCGUAAAAGUGCCUUCGAUACUGGUGGUCUUGAGUGUGGAUGAGGUAGGCGGAAUUUGUGGUGUAGCGGUGAAAUGCAUAGAUAUCACGAGGAACUCCGAUUGCGCAGGCAGCUUACUAAACUACUACUGACGCUCAGGCACGAAGGCGUGGGGAUCAAACAGGAUUAGAUACCCCUGUAGUCCCU